UCUCCUUUCACUUUUUUGCCGAAUGAUCCUUCCGUAUAGACGUAUUUACAUCAAAAAUGAUCAAUGAUUGUUGUUAUAGAAGAUUAUAGUUAUGACCAAGUGACGGAAUCAUAUUUUAUUGAAAAAGCUCUACAGGAGACAUUUUGAUUAAUGAAAACAAUAUUGUACACCUAUAGUUAUAUGCUCAAGUCAUCUAGAAAACUAAAGAAAGCAUAUUGUGAACACAGAUAAUACAACAUAUUGUGAUGGUUCAACGAAGAUAGCGGCAAUAAUUCCUCUGGAAUUUCACGAUAGCUGUACAGCGUUAGAACCUGUAAAAUGUAUGACACUCUAUGGCGGAAGUCUGCGUCUAUAUAAUCGUUGUGAUCACGACCCAGGAAAAUAAAGUCGACGUUACUUUAAUGGGCCGCCUUUUCAAUCUGUGACAUCCAGUUACCAUGGACUGGAUGUGUUCGUUGCAAGCGAGGAAUUGUUAUCUGAUGCAGUAAUUGUUCAUCUGUGGUUAUCUCUUGUGGUAUGGAACUGAUAUGCAGGGCAUCUAUUAACAAUGGAGUAGUAACGUGAACAAAUACACGUUAGCCACGAAGAAUAUCACAAAUUACGUUGAACCUCCUUCGGAAUCAGUCGGGGUGUAGUUCAUGUGAUGUCGGUAAUUUUUGGCAAUUUGGACUGAUUAUGUGAGUACGUAGAGUUCAAAUCUCACGAGUACGCUUGUGCUAUGACAGGCAGCAUUGGUGUACAAAAGAAACAAUUAGUCUUAUUGUGUAACCUUGAACAAAAAUGUAAUUAAAUUUGCUUACAGUAGGAUGUGAUCUCAGAAAUGUUAUUCUUUAACACAAUUGUAUUCUAAUUUGACAAACUGUAUAUAUCUCUAAAUAUAAUAACAAAAACUGCACUCAUCAGGAAUAUUGCUUUCUUGCAAUGUA